rnacentral:lncRNA from 1 species
GCCUUUGUGCACAUAGUAGCCUUCUGGGUGGGCGGAGCCCAGUCCCUUCCUAGGGGGGACACGGCCCUAGGCGUAGGAUCGGCCAGUCCUACGACUUAUAUUCUGCUUGCCGCCGGGCAUAGUAAGACCCCGCGAGGUGCAGUAUGGCUUUCCGCGGAUGUAGAAUUCCCGCGAGGUGCCGUUUAGUAUAUAGAUGUGAGAUGGAUUUCUGUUCUGGAUACUGGCCUGCAUUUAUAUUAUCAGUAUGGUGUCUUAUUCUGCAUAUGCAUGUGAUAGUGAAAAGUUGUUGCUGGUUCGCCUGGGGCGUAAAACCCACCUCCCGAUAGCUAUCUAGCAUUAAUAUUAUUGGUAUGGUGUCUUAUCCUGCAUAUGCAUAUGACAGUAGGGAGUUAUUGCUGGUUCGCCUGGGGUGUAAAACCCACCUCCCAAUAGCUGUCUUGUUGAUGAUUCAACCUAUUGACACAUGAUUUAUAUGAUUCAGUACUACGACCUGUUGAGCAUAUUCAUGUUAUCAUACAUACUUAUUUGAUUAUUCUAUAUAUGCUCCAGAUGAGUUGAUUGGGAUUGUGAUGAUUUACUCCUUAUUUCUUAUGUUGAGUUAUGUGUAACCUAUUCUUGACGACUGCUCAUAUGCUCUUGAGAUUUCACCUCGAGCCAUGACUAUAUCUUGUCUCAUGUGCAUAGUACUCUCUACUCCACUCACUGAGUAUUUAUAUACUCACUCCCCAGUUUGGUGUUUUUGAUUGCAGGGCAAGUAUUGUAUAGAGAGGAGCAGGAUUAGUGGUUGCCUGCUAGCUGGUGCCGCUCCAUAGUAUAGUAUAAUGUAGAUAGAGCUUUAUACCCUUUUAGUGUAUUAUAAACCUUCUGUUGUAUAUAGUAUAUAGUUACAGUCAUAGAUCCUGUUGUGGAUAUGGGUUUGACCAUGGAUGGAAUGGGAACCAGAUUUUU